CAUUUGGGGGCGGGCUUACAAUGUCAAGUCGAGCGGAGAGAGGUAGCUUGCUACUGAUCUUAUCGGCGGACGGGUGAGUAAUGCUUAGGAAUCUGCCUAUUAGUGGGGGACAACAUUUCCAAAGGAAUGCUAAUACCGCAUACGUCCUACGGGAGAAAGCAGGGGAUCUUCGGACCUUGCGCUAAUAGAUGAGCCUAAGUCGGAUUAGCUAGUUGGUGGGGUAAAGGCCUACCAAGGCGACGAUCUGUAGCGGGUCUGAGAGGAUGAUCCGCCACACUGGGACUGAGACACGGCCCAGACUCCUACGGGAGGCAGCAGUGGGGAAUAUUGGACAAUGGGCGCAAGCCUGAUCCAGCCAUGCCGCGUGUGUGAAGAAGGCCUUAUGGUUGUAAAGCACUUUAAGCGAGGAGGAGGCUACUUUAGUUAAUACCUAGAGAUAGUGGACGUUACUCGCAGAAUAAGCACCGGCUAACUCUGUGCCAGCAGCCGCGGUAAUACAGAGGGUGCAAGCGUUAAUCGGAUUUACUGGGCGUAAAGCGCGCGUAGGCGGCUAAUUAAGUCAAAUGUGAAAUCCCCGAGCUUAACUUGGGAAAUUGCAUUCGAUACUGGUUAGCUAGAGUGUGGGGAGAGGGAUGGUAAAACUCCCUGGUGGUAGCGGGUGUUCG
rnacentral:rRNA from 1 species